AUCUGCCCCAACAAGGAGAGAAGAGAAUCUAGGGACCAUGUACUCCAAGAUGCUGAAGCCUCCACAGCCUUCUAAGACCAGAAAUUGGACUAGCUGGAUUAGGAGACAUGAUGAAGAUGGAAAGAAAUGUUGGCUACCUCUGAGGUUUCUUGCGGUCAGACUUCCAGGAAUUGCAUAGGACUGACUUUUGGCCAUGAGUGCAAUGAAGAUGAUGAUGGAGCUGACGCUGAC
rnacentral:lncRNA from 1 species